UUCAGGAUCCUCUUAGGGGCUGGCUGACCCCGAGGUUCUUCCACUGACACUUGCCAUUUCUGCAAAUGGACGAAUCCCCCAGAGUCGCCCAGCCUCACCUGCUUAUGCUCACCUGUGCAUCUCUGUCCACUCCCAGAUACCCAGGCCUCAGUCUAAGGAUAUAAAACUACUGGAGCUCUCUUGUGGCUCAGUGAGUUAAGGAUCUGGCAUUGUUACUGCUGUGGCUUGGGUCGCAGCUGUGGUUUGGGUUUGAUCCCUGGCCUGGGAACUUCUGCAUCCCGCCUGGUGCAGCCAAACAAACAAAAACCUACCAGUUUCCAACUGCUAUCCAAGCCAUGUUGCCCUUCUUACUUGCUGGUGAUGAGGUUUUUCCUUCCUGGUGUGGCCUCCCAGGCCUUUAGGGAGAGUCGGGAGAGAUGGGGAGACUGCGUUCCAUGUAUAAGCAGGAGGGUAGAAGUGAGCUCCUGUCCACAAGGAUGCCCCCUUCCUCAAAUUCUCAGCAGUUAGGCUACUUAGGAGUGGUUAGGAAAGCAAUGUGGGAGUUCCCAUUGUGGCUCAGGAGUUACAGACCCAACUAGUAUCCUUGAGGAUACAGGUUUGAUCCCUGGCUCUGCUCAGUGGGUUAAGGAUCCUGUGUUGCCAUGAGCUGUGGUGUAGGUCACAGACUCAGCUCAGAUCUGGUGUUGCUGUGCCUGUGGUGUAGGCCAGCAGCUGCAGCUCCAAUUUGACCCCUAGCCUAGGAACUUCCAUAUGCUGUGGGUACAGCCCUAAAAAAAAAGAAAGAAAGAAAAGUGAUCUUAAACCCACCUUCAGUACCAAAACCCAAAUCCAUCUGUUCAGGGCAGGCAGAAGAAAUGUCUCUCUCUCCCCACCCCCCAUAAUAUCAUCAGCUAUAAUCAUCUAUGUGCUGUGUAUUUGAACCUGGGGACCCGUGCUGUCCCCAUCCCAUGACUCAGACCCUGUCUUUCUUCCACAGCCUAACCCAGAAGCAGGGGGGAAUCCUGAAUCGAGCUGAGAGGGCUUCCCCGGUUCUCCUGGGAACCCCAUCGCCCCCCGCCGGCACGCACCUGAGCAGGUAGGACCACAAACACCCCUGCCCGAUUCUCCCUCGGCUGCCUUCUGCCCGGCUUCCCCGCUUCUGAUCUGGUCGGUUCCCUCCCGGCAGUUCAGGCUUUCCCCAUCCCUCCUCCCCCACCGCUCGCGUAGUCCUGGGAGGUGGGAGCCUGGGAACAGUGGGGUGUCUGAAAGCUUAGAGCC
ensembl:lncRNA